rnacentral:rRNA from 1 species
UACGAAGGGGGCUAGCGUUGUUCGGAAUUACUGGGCGUAAAGCGCGCGUAGGCGGGCGUUUAAGUCAGGGGUGAAAUGCCGGGGCUCAACCUCGGAACGGCCUUUGAUACUGGACGUCUGGAGUUCGGGAGAGGUGAGUGGAAUUCCGAGUGUAGAGGUGAAAUUCGUAGAUAUUCGCAAGAACACCAGUGGCGAAGGCGGCUCACUGGCCCGGUACUGACGCUGAGGUGCGAAAGCGUGGGGAGCAAACAGG